rnacentral:rRNA from 2 species
UGAGGCGAGAAAAGCGUGGGGAGCAAACAGGGAUUAGAUACCCUGGUAGUCCACGCCGUAAACGAUGAGUGCUAAGUGUUAGAGGGUUUCCGCCCUUUAGUGCUGCAGCUAACGCAUUAAGCACUCCGCCUGGGGAGUACGGUCGCAAGACUGAAACUCAAAGGAAUUGACGGGGGCCCGCACAAGCGGUGGAGCAUGUGGUUUAAUUUGAAGCAACGCGAAGAACCUUACCAGGUCUUGACAUCCUCUGACAACUCUAGAGAUAGAGCGUUCCCCUUCGGGGGACAGAGUGACAGGUGGUGCAUGGUUGUCGUCAGCUCGUGUCGUGAGAUGUUGGGUUAAGUCCCGCAACGAGCGCAACCCUUGAUCUUAGUUGCCAGCAUUUAGUUGGGCACUUUAAGGUGACUGCCGGUGACAAACCGGAGGAAGGUGGGGAUGACGUCAAAUCAUCAUGCCCCUUAUGACCUGGGCUACACACGUGCUACAAUGGAUGGUACAAAGGGCUGCAAGACCGCGAGGUCAAGCCAAUCCCAUAAAACCAUUCUCAGUUCGGAUUGUAGGCUGCAACUCGCCUACAUGAAGCUGGAAUCGCUAGUAAUCGCGGAUCAGCAUGCCGCGGUGAAUACGUUCCCGGGCCUUGUACACACCGCCCGUCACACCACGAGAGUUUGUAACACCCGAAGUCGGUGGAGU